UUUUCAUUAUGUUGAUAACAAUUCAUCAUUUCCAUGUCCCACUAUCCCUUCACCUACCGUAAAUCCAAUUGCUUUUAAUUUUAUAACCAAUCCUCAUCAAACAACUUCCAUAACUACUCAUGCUAAAACUGCUCAGUUUGAAAAAGUUCAUUAUGAACAAAUUCUCUCUGAAAUAGUUCAUGUUGAACCCUUUGUUUCU
rnacentral:lncRNA from 1 species